rnacentral:SRP_RNA from 13 species
ACCGAUGCAGGAGAGAAAGAGAGCGGCGAAGAGGUUCCGCACGGGUUCGAUGGUGG